UUGGGCAAUGCCCGCAAGGGUGACCCAGCAAUGCCGCGUGGAGGAUGAAUGUCGUAAGAUUGUAAACCCCUGUUAGAGGGGAAGAAUAGUACCGGUUGGACCGGUAUAUGACUGUACCCUCAGAGAAAGCCCCGGCUAACUACGUGCCAGCAGCCGCGGUAAUACGUAGGCAGCAAGCGUUGUUCGGCGUUACUGGGCGUAAAGAGUGCGUGGGCGGUUUUCUAAGUUCGGUGUGAAAUCUCCCGGCUUAACUGGGAGGGUGCGCCGAAGACUGGAAAGCUGGAGUGUGGGAAAGGCAGGGGGAAUUCCUGGUGUAGCGGUGAAUUGCGUGGAUAUCAGGAGGAACACAGGCGGUGUAGACGGCUUGCUAGACCAUAACUGACGCUGAGGCACGAAAGCGUGGGUAG
rnacentral:rRNA from 1 species